GAUUGGUUGCUAUGGGCAACUGGACAACUUUUCCUCUGCACCGUGUUUGAUAAAUCUCCCCCCAUAAGUUUCAGCUACACAGGUUCAGGUGAACUAUGAAGACACUGACUGCAAAAAGAACAUGUCUCUUAAUAGAAAUCAGUUUUCAAGAUGCAAAGUACAAGUUUCCAGGAAAGGAAAAUGAUAUGCCAAUGAGAAAAUAUGUUAUCAGAAUUAGGAUUAAAUCAACUGAAUAAUCAGCAUCUGUCAAUCAUUAAAUAGGAGCUGCCAAAAUGUGAGGUUUUCACCUAACAAUCUGCUGUCUAUGCAGAUGCGGAAGAUGCCACCAGAGCGAGCCUGGCGCUGAGAUGUUUAUGAGCAAUGGCAAAUUAACAUUUAAACUCACUAUGGAGCUGAUGCAAAUGUGCUGCCUGCCUUAUAUAACGUGUGGUGCCUGCACUUUCUGUUGAGUUGUCAAAAAUCAAGUACAGGGUAUACUGUGUAUUCAGGCCUUGG